ACCUAUGGCCAUACCAGUCUGAAAGUGCUUGAUCUCAUCAGAUCUCAGAAGCCAUCCAGACUCGGGCCUGGUUAGUACUUGUAUGGGAGACCAAAUAGGAACCUCAGGUGCUGUAAGCU
rnacentral:rRNA from 1 species